GAUGCUUACUCUGCUGAGGCUGGGUGUAAACCGGUGACCUUCUGAUCACAGGCCCAGAGGCUUACUCUGCUGAGCUACAUGCUGCCCCCCCCCUCAAAACACCCACUAUCGCCUCUGGCUGGCUCUCUGGGGCCAUUUGGCAGGGACAAUGUACUGUAAAGCACUUUGAGGCAAUAUAAUAUUGUGAAAAUGCACUACAUAAAUAAAUUUGCAUUGGAUUGAAUUAGAUUAACUUUUCUGCCUUAUUCACAGAGACCAAAUUGAAGAAUGCAGUUCAGAUCUACAUGAUAAAUCAGGUUUACCAUCCAUAUUGAAGUCACUAGAGGAAAAAUCUGUAAAGUUCCUAAAGGAUGAGCUGAAGAAGUUUGUGAGGUGCCUAGAUCAGAAUUACCCAGAAUGCCCUGAGCCUCAGCUGGAGGAGGACAAUGACCUGGACAGUGAUGGUCAGAUGCAGAAGACCUGUGGUAGAGAGGGAGCUCUGAAGAUCACGCUGUACAUCCUGAGGACCAUGAAGCAAAAUGAUCUCGCUGACUUGCUGGAGAAGAGACAGCUCAUGCUGCAAUAUCUGCACAGAAUCAAAAGUAACCUGAAGCAGAAAUAUGAGUGUGUAUUUGAAGGGAAAGCUAAGGAAGGACAGCCAACACUUCUCAGUGAUAUUUACACAGAAGUCUACAUAACUGAAGGUGGGACUGGAGGAGUCAAUGAUGAACAUGAAGUGAGACAGAUUGAAACAGCAUCCAAGAAAAGGCGAACAGAAGAUACUACAGUC